CUUUUUAUCUUCUGUUUUACUUUAUCUGUAUUGAAAUUGAACUGAUUUUUAUUCUUUGCCCUUAAGAUGAUUAAGCAAGACUUUAGCCAGUAUCUUAUAGACACUGUUCACUAAGCUAAUCGGCCUAAAAUCUGUAACUUCGACAGCUCCUGCCUUUUUUGGAAUCAAAGUCACAAAGAUGGCAUUUGAACUUUUCUCAAAAACACAAUUGGUAUGGAAUUCAGAGAAAAAGUGCAUGAUAUCACCUUUAACCACAGACCAUGGAAAAAGGCAAAAGAGAAACCAUCUGGCCCAGGCACUUUAUCCCCAUCCAUGUUUCGGAGAGCUUGAAGGAUCUCUUCCUUCUCAAACUGUCACUCCAAGUGAGCUGCACUAGCUCUGUCAAUGGAAUUGAAAGGCAUCCUAUCUAAUUUUGGUCGCCAUGCUUCCGUUUCCUGAUACAGAUCCUUAUAGAACUGCCCCACAAUUUCCUUAAUCACAUCUUGAUCAUUGGUGAUAUCUUCACCCACUUUAAGACUACCAAUAUGAUUGUACCUGUGAUGCGAAUUGGCCAGACGAUGAAAAAAGGAUGUAGUCCUAUCCCCUUCCUUCAACCACAGUGCCCUGGAUUUUUGUUGGUAGCUGAUUUCCUCCAUAACAGAUAAUUUUGUAGCUCUGCCUUCUUUGCUUCCCUCUCCAAACUUUCUUCCUCAUGAAAGUUAUCUGUGUCCUCCAGCCAGUCCAUCUCUCUGAUUUCCCCCGAAAUUUUAUUUUUUUUGUCUUGUCACAUCUCCAAAAUUUUCUUUGCUACAUGUCCUCAAAUCAAACUUUAGAGAUUUGAACCUUCUGAUUUUGUCCACAUAUUCUCAAACUUAAAAGAACUAUUUCCUCUGCUAAAUUACUGUCCAGCAAUACAGGAAUGUGAUCUGACACAGCCCUUGGAAGUAGCCCCUGACUCAAAGCAGGGAAAUGGCCGUCCCAUUCUGGAGAUACCAAAAAUCUAUCUAGGCGAGAUAUAGAAGGUGGGGUAUGAUUAUUCGACCAGGUAAAACUACCCCCUUCCAGUGGAAAAUCUAUCAAAUCAUGAUCUGAAAUAAAUUCAGAAAAAUCCCCCAUCCCUGAACUGAUUCUUGUAGCUCCCUUCCUCUCGGCGAUUCUCCAUGGUAAAGACAGCCAGCUGUGUACCCCUGCUAGUUCCUCCCACAAGAACUUCCUGGCUAGAUCAUUAGAAGUUCCAUACACCCCUGAAAAUACCCAUUCGAAACCAUCUGCCACAUUCCGAAAUUUGCAAGACACAACACACUCUCCUGCUGCCUCAUCAUCUUUUUCAAUCACUCUUUUAUCCCAUUUUUGCUUCUUGGAGACAUAUAUAACAUCAACCCUCCAACUUCUUAGCAGAUUACGUACUUGCAAACGUGUCUCCUCAUCAUUGAAACCUUUCUCCUCUUAGCAGAUAUACUAUGUAUCUAUUGUAAAUGAAUCAGUUAUUGGGUGAGGGUAUAUGUUGUUAUUUAGCUAUUGUAAUUUUUUCCAUAAAAAAGAAAAAGAAAAAAAGAAAUAGAUGAAGCUAUUGGAGUUUCAUAAAAAACAAGAAAUGGAGGCUGGUCGUAGCAGCACUUCAUGGUAAUUCUUGUGUGUAACUUUCAUAUGAUACAUAAAAUUUCCACAAAUCUAUAAGCCAUCCUUAUUCCUCCUAAAUAUCAUCAUUUAUGCCGAGUGUAUUAGGAAAUCAUUCUCAAAUAUUAAACCAAGUUGGUAGGAGCAUGUUGUCCAUUGGAUUUAAACAAUUUCAAAUCAACAAGUUUUCAAUUAUAUGAUGCAUUGCAGCUCCAUGCGCAUGCAUAGCUCAAAUAGAAGUAUCACCAUUUGCAAUACUAGAAGCAUCUAUAUACUUCUCAAAAAAAAAAAAAACUAGAAGCAUCUAUAUUGAAAAUCUUUUUCAGUGGAUUAAAGAAUACUAUGAUUGGAUAUAUUUUUGAAGUUGUUGAUAUUGAUGAAAUUAUGUACUUGUUGCACUUUCCAUCUUAUGGUAUUUAUAAUUCAUACUUCAUACACAUCUUACUGGUCACUAUAACCAAUAUUAUUUCCUUAUGCAUUUAUGCCACAGCUAAACGAUUUUUUUGUUUCCUUCCACUAGGACUUAUGCCCAAUUGGUUUCUUUUUAGGAUUGGAAACUUGAUCAAAGAAUGAAAUGCUUAAGGAUCUUUAAGCCAUUUUGCUAUCUUGAUUAUUAAAAAUUGUCUUCUUCCAUAUUAGAUCCAUGUUUGCUGCAUUUAAGAAUUGAAGCAUAAAUGUGUUAGAUGAUGUUGUUAUCCUGUGCAGUUUUAAUGUCCGAAAUUGUGGCUAUAUAUGUUUUGUGAGAUUUGAAGUUUAAACCAACCAAAUGCCAAGUUCAGUGACCACAACUUCUUUUGUACAUAUGAGAUAUUGAACUCAUUUUCACGGAUUUAUCACUUAAGCCUUUGAUUUAUUUCUCCUGGGUUAGAUUAAGUUCGAAUAAUCAUAUGUGAUCUAUUAUAAUCUCUAUGUUUCUUUUGUGAAUGGUAAAAUUGAUGAAUUUAAUUCAGAUCAUGGUGAGUUGGUCAGUGAAAAUGAUACUAAUUACAGUAGUGAGCUUGAAGAAGGCUGCAAUAUCAAUUACGGGACUGUGGCUGAAGAGAAUUUGAGUGAGCUCUAGUUCAUCUUUGACAGCACGAGGUUUUGUUUGGGGGGUCUAGAACAGCUAUUCUUUUGGAGCCAAUUUCACACAAUUCCUCAUGAUCAAUAAAUAGAACCCAUUUGGAUUUGGCUGAAUCACCCAGAAAAUUGUGAAAAAGUAAAAAAAAUUGGUCUGAGAAAAGUUUGGAAGCCAAAGGUAACAUUGACAUUCUUUGCACUUUUCAAUUCCUUAAGUUGUGGGUAUGUAUCGUGUCUUUUUCUUGGUGUUGAGCUUCUUAAUCAUAUCUUCAUAUGAGUGGUCAAUUUCUGCAUUGUGACCUAAUGUUAUUGAGGCAACUUCCUGACAUGAAUUUUAGGAAGGGAUUUGUUUUUUUUAAAAAGAAAAAUUGAAUCAACACCUUCUUCUUCUUCUUCUUCUUCUUCUUUUUCUUUUUCACACCUAAAGACAGUCUUUAAUGUGUGGUAUUGAUUUGUGGUGUCUCUAUUUCUAGGAUAUUUCACAGUUUCUUUGAGCUUAUGAUUUCAUGAUGAUGCUCACGUAAUUAUUUGUUUCGUAUUUCUUAACAUGCCUUAUACUAAGCUACAUAAAUACCUUAACAUUUUAGACCAAUUUAUCAAUUCAGCCAUUUAAAUUUAAUCUCUGGCAUGUUGGAGUGGAUCUAGAAAUUUGGAUAGCUAUCAAUUGUUCUAAAUAAAAAUUGAUAAUGAUUUUUGGACAUUUUUAAGAUACUUAAGAGAUUGGACUUUCCAGAAAUGAAAUUUAGUUUAUACAUUUUGGGAUAUAAGGUAAUUAUAUGACAUUGCAUUUGCAAGGGUUACUGUUAUUUCUAAUUCAUUAAUUUGGAGCAUGGAAGUUGCAUAUUAUCUUUGGAGCCUAAUUUUUGUUUCACCACAACAUCCUGUCUGAAAAUAAAGUUGGGGAAUUGGUUUUGGCUUCAAUGACCAAAACCAGUGUAUUUGCAUUAAUAUUUAUAUAGCUAUACAUCUAAAUCUAUUACACCUGAAAAGAUAUAGCAACAAUUCAAAUACAAGAAGAUUAAAUAUCAGUUGUAUGCAUAUCUAUCUCAAUAUUCUGCAGCAGCUCUGUUUUAUUGGAAAUUUGGUCUUAUCUUAAUCUUGAGAUGAUGAGAUUUGAACUUGGUGCUUAUCUUUAUCUUUCUCAAAACUAGCAUCAAUAGGAUUAGCUUGAUCCUAUUGAUCUGUUAUCUUAACAGCCCCCCGCAAGAUGAUGGGGGUUGAACAACCAUCAGCUUGGAUUUGAGAUAAACAAAACGUGAUGAGGACAAUCCUUUUGUAAAAAUAUCAGCAACCUGAUCAAGGGUAAAGAUGAACUUGACUAUGAUGUCACGAUUGACUACCUUCUCGCUAACAAAAUGGUAGUGAACUUCAAUAUGUUUAGUACGGGCAUGAAACACCGGAUUAGAGGCUAAGGCAAGUGCACUGACAUUGUCACACCACAGCACAGGAGCUACCUUAAGAGGAAUCUGAAUUUCUUGAAACAACAUUUGCAACCAGUAAAGUUCAGCUGUGGUGAUGGCUAAGGAACGAUACUCAGCUUCAGUACUAGACCAGGAAACAACAGCUUCUUUCUUAGUACUCCAAGAAAUAAGACAAUCACCAAGGAAAACUGAAAAUCCGGAAGUAGAGCGUCGAUUAUCAAGGCUACCAGCCCAAUCUGAAUCACAGAAGGCAUUAAGUUGGAGAGAACCUUUAGAGUACAACAACCCAUGAUCAGGUGUACCCUUAAGAUAGCGUAAUACACGCUUUGCAGCUGAUAAGUGAGUUGAAGUUGGAGCAUGUAGAUGUUGACAAAAUUGAUUAACUGAGAAAGCAAUCUUUGGACGAGUGAGAGUACAAUAUUGUAAGGAGCCAACAAUAUGCCGAUAGACAGUAGGAUCAUUUAGUAAGUCACCAUCAUAUUUAGAGAGCUUAGAGGUAGAAGAACAAGGUGACUUGGAAGGUUUUGCAUCAGCCAUGUGAGUGCGAGUAAGUAAAUCUGAAAUAUACCUUGUUUGACAGAUAUGUAGGCCCUUUGGAGUGCGAGAAACCUGAAUACCGAGGAAGAUUAGAGUUUUUGUUUGAUUCUAGUUUCUAAGAAUUGCUAAUUAAUUACUGCAUAUUGGAUUCUGUUUGCAAGGAAAUCUAUUUCUUUUCUUGAUUAAAUUAAUUUGAAAAAGGGGGGUUGUUUACAAACUGUUGAAUAAAUACUUCUUUAGCACUACAUUAGCAAAUAUCUGAGAAAAGGGGAUUGGUUUUACUCCUAAGGAUAAAAGCGCUUGUAACAUGAGAGUGGGUUUCAUUUUUCUUGCUGCUAAUUGAGAAAAAUAAAAAUCUUGACCUGGUUUUUCGCUUACCUUCUUUGUUACUAUUACUGGCUUGAACAAAAUUUGGAGUUCUCACUUUAUAGUGAUGGUAAUUGUAGAUCCUCUUUAAGUUUUUAUGUAUGCCGUAGUUUGUUGCGCUUGAUAGAAUUGAAUUUUGGUGUUUUUGUUAUGUGCCUUCUUGAGUAUGAAACUUGAAAAAAAAUGAAGAAUGAUCAUGUCAUAUAAUUAACCCUUUCUGUUCUGCUGGUUCAUCUUGGAAAUUAACAAUUAACAUGCUGUUUCUUUGAAUUAGUGGGCCUGGAAGAAAUUUUAUCAUUUAAGAAAGUUGAAGGGAAACUCAUAAAUAGCUAUUCCUUUAUUACUAGGAGAACUUUGACAUGGUUUCAUUGCUAAAAGUACACUGUGAAAUGCAGUCCAAGGUGGCAUCAAGAAUCUAGGAUCUAUAUCCAGACGGGGAAGAGGCUACAAAGCAAAUAUUUGGUUCAGUGCAGUGUGUCAAAAAUGUUUGUUGAACUUGGCCACAACAAAUCUGAUGCAUCAUGCGACUGGUGGUUGCAAAACAGUUAAGGUGAAUAAUGGUAAGUGAGUACAUGCUCUGGAACCUGUUAGAAAGAUGCACAUUAAUGAGUUUAUAACACUUCGGAGAAAGAAUCGGCAAGAAAAGAUUCACUGGAAUGGGCAAAGAAGCUAUUGGAGCAUUCAAUAAGGUAGUUUACAAGUGAAUUGCUUCAGGGCCUACCAAAUUGCUUAACACCCUUAUAUUACUAUGAGAAAUUUCGGAAUAUGUGAUCUAAAAAUUUAAUGUAAUAAAUUACCAUGGAGAGUUGAUCUUGAUGUUUCCAUUUUGUCUACCGUCUAGCAGACUAGCACUACUAUAUGUGCAUUCUGUAUAUGCCAUAUGGCAAAGACAAACAGUCAAAGACAUCAAAUCUAGUUGCCAAUGUGGCAGCAAUGCUUGAUUUCAUUAAGCUACAUCUAUAGGAAUGAACUGUAAAAAAAAUUAAGUCUAGCUGCCAAUGUGGCAAUGUUUGAAUUCAUUAAGCUACAGGUAUAAGAAUGAUGUGGGAAUGAUAAGAUACUA